rnacentral:rRNA from 1 species
AGUGAACGCUGGCGGUAUGCCUAACACAUGCAAGUCGAACGGCAGCACAGUAAGAGCUUGCUCUUACGGGUGGCGAGUGGCGGACGGGUGAGGAAUACAUCGGAAUCUACUUUUUCGUGGGGGAUAACGUAGGGAAACUUACGCUAAUACCGCAUACGACCUACGGGUGAAAGCAGGGGACCUUCGGACCUUGCGCGAUUGAAUGAGCCGAUGUCGGAUUAGCUAGUUGGCGGGGUAAAGGCCCACCAAGGCGACGAUCCGUAGCUGGUCUGAGAGGAUGAUCAGCCACACUGGAACUGAGACACGGUCCAGACUCCUACGGGAGGCAGCAGUGGGGAAUAUUGGACAAUGGGCGCAAGCCUGAUCCAGCCAUACCGCGUGGGUGAAGAAGGCCUUCGGGUUGUAAAGCCCUUUUGUUGGGAAAGAAAAGCAGCAGGUUAAUACCCCGCUGUUCUGACGGUACCCAAAGAAUAAGCACCGGCUAACUUCGUG